CUGCUGUUUUCUCCUGCGGGCCGCUGUACUGUCUUAUUAACAUCAGUCUUAUUGCUGAUUUCUCCUGUGGCAUUAUAAUUGACAUCAGUGUUGCUUCUUUCUGGUCUUAGCUUGCUUGGUUCUUCUGUCUUCACAGCCACAGUACUUAAGUGCUCUACCAUCUUAUUUUGUUUGAGGUGAACUCCAUUAUAUAGCUGCCGUACAAUCGAUCUCUAGUGGAGUAUCUGCUUCUUUCAAGAUCUCAUUGAGAUAAUAUGGAAGCAGAGAUCUUGUAAAUGGAAGUUGAGCUCUUCUUAUAUUUGUUGUUGCUGCCUUUUUGGCAUCACUACUCUUAUUGCUCUCUCCUGUGGGGCGCUGGACUGUUGGAUUAUAAUUGACAUCAGUCAUGCUGCUUCUUUCUGGUCUUAGCUUGCUUGCUUCUUCUGUCUUCAUAGGCCUCUCAUGACUAUCUUUUGUAUUCUUAAUUGAGUGCCUUGCACCCAUCUUAAAGAUUAUUGAACAAUUUUCUGCAA